rnacentral:tRNA from 1 species
GCCGAAGUGGCGGAAUGGCAGACGCGACGGUCUCAAAAACCGUUGUCCGCAAGGGCAUGAGGGUUCGAGUCCCUCCUUCGGCACCA